CCUAGAAAUUAUACCAUGCAUAUUACUUCGAAUACAACAAAUCAAACACUCAAUAAAAAAUAAUCUCAAUAUAACUUAUUCCAACAUAACUAAUCCCGAUAUAACUUUUUUUCAAACCAAACGACCCGUAACAGUAGUAGAGAUUAAACUAGAAGAGGUAACAAUAGUAGUACAAUGCUUAGCAUUAGAGAAAACAAAAAACUAAUACUAGUAAUAGCUGACACAGACUGAUUUUGUACACAGAAGAAGUUAUUAUACAUUGACGAAGAUAGUAAUCUACGACAUAGAGUUCUGCUGAUAUCUUUUUGAAGUUGUUCCACUAAUUCCACCGGUGAAGAUGUCAAAAUGUGGUUAGUUGGUGACUGAAGUUGUUGGCUACUGUAUUUGCUUCCCGAAAAUUAUGUUGCACCACUGGACUUCCCACGCUUUUUAACAUUAACCUGCAUUUAUGAAUGAUAUCAGGUAAUGGAUGAUGAAUAUGUUAUAUAACUUCCAUCGAAUCAGUUUCUACAAGGAUAGGGGUUAAGUGAUAAGCAGCAGCUAUUUCCAAACCGUUGAGCAUCACCUCCAAUUCCACCAAGAUGUGGCAAUAACUAAUUGCUUUUACGGUAGAAAUCAAGAACCCAGACACCCAAGGCAUCCCGGAUAACCCCACCAAAACCACAACGAUCGAUAUUGACAGUGAAAGACCCAUCAUUAAUAUUGAGCUUAAAUACGGAACCAUCGGAUAUCAAUAGAGACAGAACCUAUAUAGUUGCUGUUGGAAAAGGUAGUAGAAAUGUAUUCAUCAGUUUUAGCAUGAACAAGAGCAAUAAUGGGGAAGUCUUUUCUUUUUGUUACAAACAUUAUUAUUUCGGUUCACCCAGAUGUGCCAGAGAGCAAAAGGGAGAAGAGCCAACCAAUCGAUGGAACUAUCAAAAAAAGGGGGUGAAAGAGAUUUAAGGGCAAUGAGCUAAUGGCUGGUGGACUUAUCCAAACUAGAAAGAUUUAGACCCAUAUCCAACCAGAAUUUUUGGUAGGAGAAAGUCUUAUAGGCAGUCUACCAUGAGAGCAAAGCCAAAGAAAAUGUUUGGUCUUUCCUAACGUGUUGAGUUUUCAGAUCUAACCAAAAUCGUAAGAGUGAGAUGAGAGACUAGACAGAGCAGUGUAAAUAGACUUUUUAUUGUAAGCCCAAUAUGUUUGGUCACACAAACCCAUAGAUAAAUUAGGCUUAAUAUGAUUAGAUUUAGUCAUAAGGUCUGUAGGCAUCUCUCCAAAGAGAGUUUUUUCCGGUUUCAAUUAUUACCGGUCCAA
rnacentral:lncRNA from 1 species